rnacentral:rRNA from 1 species
GAUGAACGCUGGCGGCGUGCUUAACACAUGCAAGUCGAACGAAGCUGCUAAAAGGAAGUCUUCGGAUGGAAUUUUAGUAGACUUAGUGGCGGACGGGUGAGUAACGCGUGGAUAACCUGCCUUAUACAGGGGGAUAACGGAGAGAAAUUUCCGCUAAGACCGCAUAAGACCACAGCACCGCAUGGUGCAGGGGUAAAAUAUUUAUAGGUAUAAGAUGGAUCCGCGUCCGAUUAGCUAGUUGGUGAGGUAGAGGCUCACCAAGGCGACGAUCGGUAGCCGGCCUGAGAGGGUGAACGGCCACAUUGGGACUGAGACACGGCCCAAACUCCUACGGGAGGCAGCAGUGGGGAAUAUUGGACAAUGGGGGAAACCCUGAUCCAGCGACGCCGCGUGAGUGAAGAAGUAUUUCGGUAUGUAAAGCUCUAUCAGCAGGGAAGAAAAUGACG